rnacentral:rRNA from 1 species
AAACGUAGGAGGCGAGCGUUAUCCGGAUUCACUGGGCGUAAAGCGCGUGCAGGUGGCUUGGUAAGUUAGGCGUGAAAUCUCCCGGCUCAACUGGGAGAGGUCGUCUAAUACUACCGGGCUUGAGAGCAGAAGAGGAAGAUGGAAUUCCCGGUGUAGUGGUGAAAUGCGUAGAUAUCGGGAGGAACACCAGUGGCGAAGGCGAUCUUCUGGUCUGUUUCUGACACUCAGACGCGACAGCUAGGGUGGUAAACGGGAUUAGAGACCCCGGUAAUCCUAGCCGUAAACGAUGUAAACUUGGCGUUGGUGGGUUAAACUCCAUCAGUGCCGCAGCAAACGCGAUAAGUUUACCGCCUGGGGACUACGGCCGCAAGGUUAAAACUCAAAUGAAUUGACGGGG